rnacentral:rRNA from 1 species
AUUCCAGCUCCAGUAGCGUAUAUUAAAGUUGUUGCAGUUAAAAAGCUCGUAGUUGGAUUUCUGGCUUUAUAGAACUGACCCGCCACGUUAGUGUGUGAGUGUCGGCUUCUAUAUGCCAUCCUUCCACAGAACGUUUCUACUCUUGAUUGAGCCGGAUUCGCAAUGUGGAACUUUUACUUUGAAAAAAUUAGAGUGUUCAAAGCAGGCUUACGCUAUGAAUACAUUAGCAUGGAAUAAUAAUCUAGGACUUUGGUUCUAUUUUGUUGGUUUCUAGAACUGGAGUAAUGAUUGAUAGGGAUAGUUGGGGGUGCUAGUAUUCAGCGGCCAGAGGUGAAAUUCUCGGAUUCGCUGAAGACUAACUUAUGCGAAAGCAUUCACCAAGGAUGUCCUCAUUA